rnacentral:rRNA from 1 species
AGUGAACGCUGGCGGUAGGCCUAACACAUGCAAGUCGAACGGCAGCACAGUAAGAGCUUGCUCUUACGGGUGGCGAGUGGCGGACGGGUGAGGAAUACCGGAAUCUACUUUUUCGUGGGGGAUAACGUAGGGAAACUUACGCUAAUACCGCAUACGACCUACGGGUGAAAGCAGGGGAUCUUCGGACCUUGCGCGAUUGAAUGAGCCGAUGUCGGAUUAGCUAGUUGGCGGGGUAAAGGCCCACCAAGGCGACGAUCCGUAGCUGGUCUGAGAGGAUGAUCAGCCACACUGGAACUGAGACACGGUCCAGACUCCUACGGGAGGCAGCAGUGGGGAAUAUUGGACAAUGGGCGCAAGCCUGAUCCAGCCAUACCGCGUGGGUGAAGAAGGCCUUCGGGUUGUAAAGCCCUUUUGUUGGGAAAGAAAAGCAGCAGGUUAAUACCCCGCUGUUCUGACGGUACCCAAAGAAUAAGCACCGGCUAACUUCGUG